GCAGAAUGUAAUCUUUAGAAAAAUAAAUUUUUAUUUCCAGGUUUUUAUUUCCCGCUUAUAAAUAUAUAUUUCAGAUAUCGAAUCUGAAAAUGGUAAACAGGUGUUCGAAAAGUCCGUCUUAGUUUUGGGAAUUAAAAAAUAAAAAAUAGUUCUGAUUCUGCAGACGUCACUAACCACAGCUCCGAUUGCAAGAAAUCAGUGGCCGAGAGCUAUUUGUAGAAUCCAGGAAAUAUUUAGAAGCCAAAAAUAAAUGUUAGAAGCAAAGUAAGGGGUAAAUCCAUUGGGCUAACAAAAAAUAUUAAAAUCCAGCAGUAACACUUCCUGGAGUUAUGACUCGUUGGCUGUUGUUGCAGCAUGCAAUAAGUGACCAACACUAUCAAUGGGGAGACGAGAUAGUCAUUAAAAGCGCUGGUUUUGAAGGGUAGACAAUUCCGAUCUAUACUGGUCUGAUGUUCACGUAGACACCCCAGUAAUAAGCCCUGUGUAUUGCAAUGAAUACA